GACGAACGCUGGCGGCGUGCCUAAUACAUGCAAGUAGAACGCACAGUUUAUACCGUAGCUUGCUACACCAUAGACUGUGAGUUGCGAACGGGUGAGUAACGCGUAGGUAACCUGCCUGGUAGCGGGGGAUAACUAUUGGAAACGAUAGCUAAUACCGCAUAAUAUUAAUUAUUGCAUGAUAAUUAAUUGAAAGGUGCAAUUGCACCACUACCAGAUGGACCUGCGUUGUAUUAGCUAGUAGGUGAGGUAACGGCUCACCUAGGCGACGAUACAUAGCCGACCUGAGAGGGGGAUCGGCCACCCUGGGACUGAGACACGGCCCAGACUCCUACGGGAGGCAGCAGGAGGGAAUCUUCGGAAAUGGACGAAAGUCUGACCGAGCCACGCCGCGUGAGUGAAGAAGGUUUUCGGAUCGUAAAGCUCUGUUGUAAGAGAAGAACGGGUGUGAGAGUGGAAAGUUCACACUGUGACGGUAUCUUACCAGAAAGGGACGGCUAACUACGUG
rnacentral:rRNA from 1 species